rnacentral:rRNA from 1 species
GCAAGUCGAACGCUUUUUCUUUCACCGGAGCUUGCUCCACCGAAAGAAAAAGAGUGGCGAACGGGUGAGUAACACGUGGGUAACCUGCCCAUCAGAAGGGGAUAACACUUGGAAACAGGUGCUAAUACCGUAUAACACUAUUUUCCGCAUGGAAGAAAGUUGAAAGGCGCUUUUGCGUCACUGAUGGAUGGACCCGCGGUGCAUUAGCUAGUUGGUGAGGUAACGGCUCACCAAGGCAACGAUGCAUAGCCGACCUGAGAGGGUGAUCGGCCACACUGGGACUGAGACACGGCCCAGACUCCUACGGGAGGCAGCAGUAGGGAAUCUUCGGCAAUGGACGAAAGUCUGACCGAGCAACGCCGCGUGAGUGAAGAAGGUUUUCGGAUCGUAAAACUCUGUUGUUAGAGAAGAACAAGGAUGAGAGUAAAACGUUCAUCCCUUGACGGUAUCUAACCAGAAAGCCACGGCUAACUACGUGCCAGCAGCCGCGGUAAUACGUAGGUGGCAAGCGUUGUCCGGAUUUAUUGGGCGUAAAGCGAGCGCAGGCGGUUUCUUAAGUCUGAUGUGAAAGCCCCCGGCUCAACCGGGGAGGGUCAUUGGAAACUGGGAGACUUGAGUGCAGAAGAGGAGAGUGGAAUUCCAUGUGUAGCGGUGAAAUGCGUAGAUAUAUGGAGGAACACCAGUGGCGAAGGCGGCUCUCUGGUCUGUAACUGACGCUGAGGCUCGAAAGCGUGGGGAGCGAACAGGAUUAGAUACCCUGGUAGUCCACGCCGUAAACGAUGAGUGCUAAGUGUUGGAGGGUUUCCGCCCUUCAGUGCUGCAGCAAACGCAUUAAGCACUCCGCCUGGGGAGUACGACCGCAAGGUUGAAACUCAAAGAAUUGAGGGCCCACAAGCGGUGGAGCAUGUGGUUUAAUU